ACAUAAAUACAAAGUUAAGCUCCCAGAUAGCAAGGUGACAUUGAUAUUAUGUUGAUUUUCCAUCCAAAUCAUCAUUUUGAAAAGAUAUUGAAAAGUCAUGGAUUUAUGGUUUACUGGGAAAUUUUGAUGUGGUGAUUGAAACGUGCACCGCGCGACGAUGUUUGAACUGUCCGGCGGCGGGAGAUCAUUUUUGAGCAACAGUUCAGUCAGAGUCAGACCAACGGUGUUCAGCACUCUGUCAAGUUCGCAGCUCCACCUUAAUGGUGCUGCUUCACUCUGCUACUGGUGGUGGAUCAGGCUGACUGCAACCGUUGGUCUAACGUUAGGAUGCAGCACACGAAAUUUUCUAAACGGAAAAAAGUGAAUAAAUGUACUUGCUUUUCAAACUGA